UGGUAGUUACCAUUUGCAGAUUAAUUUUUAUAGAUAUAAAAAGCAUUUGUGUAUAGUUUCACCUUUGUUUACACAUAAAUUUUAUAUAUGUAUGAUAAGUUUUAACUCCUUCACUACCAAGGGGGUAUUUAAGUUUCGUCUUAAUAGACCACAGCUAUUUAAAUUGCCAUUAUGUGCAGUACGAUCCCCCAGCUCAUGGGUGAGAUGCUGGUCUAUUGGAAAAAUCGAUGUGGCUCAUAUGUGAGUCGCUUGGUAGUGAACUUGGUAGUUAAAUAAAGUAGAUGUACAAUAAUGUAAUUGGCUACUCUAGAACUAGUUUACGGCAAAUACAGAAAAAAAGUAAACUUGGUAAUUUUUAAGCUUUAAACCCUGAUCAUAUUUUUACAUAUUUACUAGAGUCAUUUUAUUCCUGCUGUGAUGGUUAUUAGUUCCUGUCACCAUCUCUAUUGGUUUUGAAUACAAUCACUGUAUGAUUGUUACAUUACUGACACUUCUAAGACAUAGGACUUUAACAUUACAUCUAACUCACAGAUAACCAAGCUUUUAUGGCAUUACAUGAUUUCAAACAGCACAAUUCUAUCAGAAAUUUUCAUAAUAAUAUAUGAAUGUGAGGUCAGUAGAGAAAAUCAGUGUUGUCCCUGAAGGUAGGUCGCCUCCUAGCCAGUGAUGGCAAAAUUAGCAGUGCUGGAAUGCACUUUCCUUAACUUUUUUACAAGUAAAAUAUUACUCUGUUUUUUUAAUACAAGUUACGUUUGCAUAUUUUAAAAUGUAUAUGCAUUUGCUUAAUUCAAAAUAUUUUAUUUACAAAACCUAAAUUCUCUAUUUUUUUCUUUUCUUAACCAGUGCCGGAAAGCCGAUCUGGCGCGUUCCUGCACCAUGACACCACUGCUUCUAGCCUUACUUAUCUCCUUAUCUCUUUAGAGUGACUCAAUAAAAAAUAACUUCCUAGUAAACAACUUUAGAAAAGCCAAUGACCUUCUUCUUUAUAAACUGUUUUAUGAGACCAAUUGGAAAUUUUUAACUUGUACCUAUUUGUGAUGUCAAUUUAGCACACUGUUCUAUGAUUGCCUUUGUAGCAUACUGGAUCAAACUAUACCUCUUUUCCAAUGAAAUAAAAACAGAAUAAAAGUAAUAUUGAUAUUGCUUACAGAAUCUACCUAUAUAAAUUAAACAGAAUCUUUUAUAAAAAGUGAUACCAAACAAUUUUGGAAAUAUAUUUGCCAAAAAAAUAAAUCUCAUAUACCUACCUAGCUCCAUAAUCAUCACAUGACAAGUGUCAACUAAUGACCCCCCCUCCUACUUCUUGAGUAUUCUGAUCAAAAUAUAAUGCUCUCAGAAUAUGAUACUCUAUCAUUUUUCGGAGAAUGGUGCCCUUAGAAAAAUGAAAAACAAACAAGUGCUGGUCAUGGCAAAAUUCCAUCCUUCAAUUCUUCUAGAUUGCUCAUGGGUGCUGCCGGGUUUAUUUUCGGAAGGUGCAUUGGCAGCUACACAUACUAUUAACGAAGGACAGGGGGCGCAAUCACACACCUUUGUACCCUGCUGGCAGCACCUAUGAGAUUGCUCACAAUGUUUUACAACUACCAUGCAUUAUAUAUAAAAUCUUGUACUUUUCCAGAACUUUAACUAUUGCUAAAAUAUGUCUAUUUCAUAACGCUGGCUUAACAAACUGAAUGGUUGUAUCAGAUACUUGGGGAUGACUAUUGAAAGUAAACUCACUGUUAAUAAACAUUGAGAGGGUUGUAAAGUCUACACAGAAAAAACAUGGCUUCAUCAUCAGGUCAACAUAAGAUUUUAAAAAUGUGGUCUGCCUCUUCUCUUGGACAAUAGUUUUACAAAAUCUAAACUGCUCUAUGCAG
rnacentral:lncRNA from 1 species